rnacentral:rRNA from 1 species
AUUGAACGCUGGCGGCAUGCCUUACACAUGCAAGUCGAACGGUAACAGGUUAAGCUGACGAGUGGCGAACGGGUGAGUAAUAUAUCGGAACGUGCCCAGUCGUGGGGGAUAACUGCUCGAAAGAGCAGCUAAUACCGCAUACGACCUGAGGGUGAAAGCGGGGGAUCGCAAGACCUCGCGCGAUUGGAGCGGCCGAUAUCAGAUUAGGUAGUUGGUGGGGUAAAGGCCUACCAGGCCUACGAUCUGUAGCUGGUCUGAGAGGACGACCAGCCACACUGGGACUGAGACACGGCCCAGACUCCUACGGGAGGCAGCAGUGGGGAAUUUUGGACAAUGGGGGCAACCCUGAUCCAGCCAUGCCGCGUGAGUGAAGAAGGCCUUCGGGUUGUAAAGCUCUUUCGGCCGGGAAGAAAUCGCACAGGCUACUACCCUGUGUGGAUGACGGUACCGGCAUAAGAAGCACCGGCUAACUACGUGCCAGCAGCCGCAGUAA